rnacentral:rRNA from 1 species
AGAGUUUGAUCAUGGCUCAGGACGAACGCUGGCGGCGUGCCUAAUACAUGCAAGUAGAACGCACAGGAUGCACCGUAGUUUACUACACCGUAUUCUGUGAGUUGCGAACGGGUGAGUAACGUGUAGGUAACCUGCCUGGUAGCGGGGGAUAACUAUUGGAAACGAUAGCUAAUACCGCAUAAGAACAUUUACUGCAUGGUAGAUGUUUAAAAGGUGCAAAAGCAUCACUACCAGAUGGACCUGCGUUGUAUUAGCUAGUUGGUGAGGUAACGGCUCANCAAGGCAACGAUACAUAGCCGACCUGAGAGGGUGAUCGGCCACACUGGGACUGAGACACGGCCCAGACUCCUACGGGAGGCAGCAGUAGGGAAUCUUCGGCAAUGGACGGAAGUCUGACCGAGCAACGCCGCGUGAGUGAAGAAGGUUUUCGGAUCGUAAAGCUCUGUUGUAAGAGAAGAACGAGUGUGAGAGUGGAAAGUUCACACUGUGACGGUACUUAACCAGAAAGGGACGGCUAACUACGUGCCAGCAGCCGCGGU